UGGCGAGGCCCUGAUCGACGAACUGCUGGCGGAAAUGGCGGGGGACCGCCGGGAAGAGGUUCCGCUUUCCGCCUUGCGCCUGGGCUUGAAAU
rnacentral:ncRNA from 19 species